CGAGCAUAAUGAGGAUGUAUAUGUAUUGAUCCGAUAAGUUCAUGAUUGGAUUACAAACCUCCUACUCAUUCUGA